CCUAAAAAAAAAAAAAAAAAAAAACUAGUCCAAUCUAAACACAAAACUCCACCGUGUGCCUUCCUUCUCCUUCGUCUCCUACUCUUCAAACACCACCGCAAAAUCGAAAAUCUACCUCAAUCUGUAGCUCUCUAAAUUACCUCUCACUGUUCAAUCCCUAGAUUUUUAGGGUUUCAGAUCUAUAUUCCCUUUCACCAUUCAAUCCCUAGCUUUUUAGGGUUUUCGAUCUAUUCCUCUUCCUCGUGUUUUUUCUUUGACCAAAAUUAAUGGCUUCAAUCCGAAAGACCCUAUCUCCCCGACCUUCUUAGUGGCGUUAUAGUUUCAGAGAUUAUCUAGCGGCGUUGGUGGCUACGAUAAGGGUUUCAUGAUUGAUCAUGUAAGCUUUAGCUUAAGCAUGAACACUGAGAAGGAAUUAACAGAUUGUAGAUCUGAAUUUGUUGAAGGAUUUUUUCUGGUUUGUGGUUCUAGGUAUUUUGGUGGGGUUUUUGAAAUCAAGUCAUGUGUGAAUCCACCGAGAUAAGGGAAAACAUCUUCUAGAGUUCUAGCAAACUAUAUUUUGUCAAUCUCAAGUCGUUUUGCAACACCAAAGUAAGCUUAGUUCUCGUGGUUAAAUAAUGUACAUUCCUUUUGUUUGUUUUUUCAAAGAAGGUGCUUGAUGAAAUAUCUACUUAUAAAACUUUGUUUAGGCUAAGCUAUGUUUAUUCUCUAUGAAUUCGAACUUCUAUGUAUCAUCUUGUGGGGAGAUGAGAACUGUGAGUGGGCCUUUCUAGCUUCGGAAGGCAGUAGCGGUGGGAUUCUUUCUUUGCGAAACAAGUUUUUUAUUGCUUCAGUCGCAGCAAAUUGCUACUUUCUUUGGAUGUGGUUUUGCUAUCCAGUUUCAAUUAGGUUUUGCAUUGGAGAAAUACGAUGAAAAGGAAUUACAAUCAAAGAAAGGUUGGAAUUGAUAAUGAUCAUUUAAAGAAAGUAACAUAAGGCAUGUUGUAGGUGAUUCUUCGUAUGAUUAAGUAGCCAAGAUUGUGGGGGUAUUGAAAGGAAAUUUACUAUUUUACAGUUUGCUCAAUUUUAGUUGUAUUUAUAGUUUUGAGAAAAUAUUGUCUUAGUUUGUAUUAAAAAGUCAUGGGAGCAUUAACCAUGACUUUAGGUGUUUUAUAGUUUUUUAUUUGAAUAAGUCUUCAGGUGUUUUAUAGUAGCCGUACAUGUUUGCUACUUUUUAGUACCCAUACCAUAGAGUGGAGGUACUCCACUAUGCAUUUAUGUAAUACUAUACAAAUAUUUGAAUAAAGAAGUUCAUGUAUUUUUGCCUCA